rnacentral:tRNA from 1 species
GCGGGCGUGGCGGAAUUGGUAGACGCGAUGGAUUUAGGUUCCAUUGCCGCAAGGCGUGGGGGUUCGAGUCCCUUCGCCCGCACCA